UUGCUUCUCUUGAGAGCGGCGGACGGGUGAGUAAUGCCUAGGAAUCUGCCUGGUAGUGGGGGAUAACGUCCGGAAACGGACGCUAAUACCGCAUACGUCCUACGGGAGAAAGCAGGGGACCUUCGGGCCUUGCGCUAUCAGAUGAGCCUAGGUCGGAUUAGCUAGUUGGUGGGGUAAUGGCUCACCAAGGCGACGAUCCGUAACUGGUCUGAGAGGAUGAUCAGUCACACUGGAACUGAGACACGGUCCAGACUCCUACGGGAGGCAGCAGUGGGGAAUAUUGGACAAUGGGCGAAAGCCUGAUCCAGCCAUGCCGCGUGUGUGAAGAAGGUCUUCGGAUUGUAAAGCACUUUAAGUUGGGAGGAAGGGCAGUAAAUUAAUACUUUGCUGUUUUGACGUUACCGACAGAAUAAGCACCGGCUAACUCUGUGCCAGCAGCCGCGGUAAUACAGAGGGUGCAAGCGUUAAUCGGAAUUACUGGGCGUAAAGCGCGCGUAGGUGGUUCGUUAAGUUGGAUGUGAAAUCCCCGGGCUCAACCUGGGAACUGCAUUCAAAACUGACGAGCUAGAGUAUGGUAGAGGG
rnacentral:rRNA from 1 species